UAACACGAGGCGCUUAGAAACGUGGGA
rnacentral:piRNA from 1 species